rnacentral:tRNA from 1 species
GUUGUUGGUUCAGUGGUAGAAUGCUCGCCUGCCACGCCGGCGACCCGGGUUCGAUUUCCGGCCAACG